AGUUGCUAUCCUUUUUAUGAGUCUCAUUAUUUGGGCUACAGUUGCAUCCAGUCGUCUGAGGAUUUCUCCAUCGUUGCCCUUGGCUUCGAUGAGCAGACCUAGUACCCUGAUCCUCUCGGCUAUGGUGGAUCUGCGUGCCGUUCUGCCUGCACCACCAUGCCGUCGGCUUGAUCGGCCCUCCGCACGACGACUGGGUCGGCACGAUCGCGAAAGGCGAAGCGAGCCAGCUCUUUGACGCCUUCCUCAUGACCGCGCUAGGUGGCAUCCCGUGGCAGGUGUACUUCCAGCGCGUGCUGAGCUGCGAAAGCGACUUCGACGCCCGGAUGCUGUCGUAUCUGUCCGCGGUGGGAUGCAUCAUGCUCGCCAUUCCGCCCGCCGUCAUCGGCGCAGCAGCCAAGA